CCUACUUUAUCGUCAGUCAUACAUUUGAGCAAGAUGAAUAACGUUGUGUUUGUUAUUUUACUCGCGAUAUUUAGUGCUCAUGUGCAAUCUAAAACAUAUACAAAUGACCAAACAAUUGGUUUUAAUUUCGAAUCGUCACAAGAAGAGGAAACUGAACGUUUAAGUCGUUCAAGAAGAGACGAUGAUUAUUCUGAUGAGGGAGGCUUUGUGGCAGCCCCUGGACAUCCAGGAGAUGACGAUUUUAUAGCUAAUAUACGGGAUUGUGCGAAUGGGAGUACUCGAGCUCCGUGGGGAAAGUGUAUUUCGUGUAGAGAAUAUCAAAAAAAAUUCAGAAAAAUUGGUAUGGGCUGCUGAAAGAUUUUUAUCUUGAGUUUCUAUUAAUACAUAUGUACUAAGAUAACCCGCCUUGAUAAACUUAGACACGAGGUGAUUAAAAUAUUAUAAUAUGUUAAAUGUCUUUUAGUUCUUAGUAAAAUAAUGUAUUCGUUAUUAAAAUUAUUUUACGUCGACAGUUCAACAAAAUUUAAGUCUCUAUAAUUAUUAUGCAUAAUAUCAUUAUGUAGCUACUAAUGUGCUGUUCCCAGACAGUUGAGGAAACAUAUGUCUCCAUACUAAGUCGGCUAUAGUUACAAAACUGUUUCACACACACAUUGAAAUAACUAAGCACGCCAUGGCAUGGCGUGACGACGCCAGACUUCGUGGCCGUUCCCUACUCGCUGGACCGAUCUAGUUAAGAACCUUAGAGGGAUUACCAUCACACAGGUAAAGAGGCUUGCCGACCAGGGGACAUAGGAGGAAGUUGUUCGGUGCUACUAACUCGAUCUUCAGAAAUGAAGAGUGUUACCUCGCAAGAUACAUAUAUCAUUUAUACAAAAUUGGGAUUUUUAUUUCUGUUAAAAGCGGCUUAAGUCGUAAUUUUAAGAAAGAUAUUUUUAUUUAAGAUUCACCAAAUAUUGCACAACGUUGACCUUGUCAAUUAUAAUUUAUUUCCUACGCCAGUGUUAAGAGAUAUUUGACAAGGUAAAAAAUGAUAUGCAACCUUCAAUUCAAAUCAAGCAGCUAACAAAUAUCUGACAACUUUUUAUAACUCGAAGGUCACUUCACGUACUUCGAUAAAUAUAAUAUACACCAAGUCCAGGCUUCUAUCAAGGAAGUUAUUAAAAAGGGCUCGUAUUUCUUUAGACUAAUGACGUCGAAGCGACAGCCUUUUGCCCCUUGCAUUAAAAAAUGGAUUUCUUUCAACCCCCUUUUCACAUUUGAAAAGGUCCUUUAUUCAGAGGCUUGGCGCUCGACGGUAUUCAAACGGUAAAAGAAUUUUGUAAACGUUUAUAUUUGUAAAUUUUGCUUCAAUAACGAUUUAUACAGUUUUUAAGUGUGUGAAAACUUUUAAAAUUUGGUUCAAUAUCCUUUAGAUUACGCAAGUGGCAUGCAGAUGGUAUAGAAUACUUUUUAAAUAUAAUUAAAAGGCCGGUAGCGGACUCGCGAGCUCUCUUCUAUGGGCAUUGGACAUCUGGUGAGGCUACUGCCCGUUUGCUCUCAAGUCUAUAAAAAAAUCUUUGUAGUCUUUGUAGUAAAGUGCGUACCCCCUUCGUUUAUUAAAUGCAGAAAGCACUAAAUAGAUUGCGUUUGUGAGAUAUACUUGUGGAGGCUAAGACCUAUACAAGAUGAUGAUGGUGAUUAACAUUUCAUGACACGAGAAAUUGUAAACACAAAUGUUUAUAUUUUAAUCAUUUGUACAUAAAGUACGGUUUUUAUAAAAUCGUUCAAACGUUCGUAGUUUAAAUAUAAUCAAAACAGUAAUUAUAAUAUGUACGAAGUAUGGUCUAAAAAUAUCACUUUUUAUUUAACUUCCGCGCUGAAACCCGAACUAUGAUUUUCAUUCAAUGAAUUAUAUACAUUUGUACAUU